UUAUUUUUUUCAAAAUUAGGCCCUAUGUUCCCACAUUUCUAAGAAUGUUUUCAAAAUUAGGCACUAUGUUCCCACAGUUCCCAUAUUUCUAAGAUUUCUUUUCAAAUUUAGGCCCUGUGUUCCCACAUUUCUUUUUACAUAAAUUUGUAUCAGAUUUUAUCCCCCUUUCUCCCAAUUUG